rnacentral:rRNA from 1 species
UGGUAUACUUCAUCCAAAGCUAAAUAUGGACAGGAGACCGAUAGCGAACAAGUACCGUGAGGGAAAGAUGAAAAGAACUUUGGAAAGAGAGUGAAAUAGUGCUUGAAACCAUUGGGGGGAAAGCGAAUGGAGCUUCCGUAAUGUCGAAGGAUCUCAAACCAGCGCUUCGGUUGGAACUGGUGUAAUGACUUUGAUUAUGCGUCCUUGAGUAUUUCCCCUCUUGUUCGUGCGUUGAACACGACAAAAGACUUCUGUUGAAUUUUUUCCUCUCGGGGUUGAAGUUUUUAAACAGAACUGCUCUUUUUGGUUGUUGUUGGGAUCGAUGCAGAGGGGCUCUUUCUAAGAGUUUCAAUCUUUUUUUCGUUCACUUUUCCUUCUAAGGUUUAGUGAAAGUUUUAAGAUUGGGAAUGGACGUAGGGGCUUUCUUCGACCCGUCUUGAAACACGGACCAAGGAGUCCGGUAUGAGCGCGAGUGCUCGGGAAUGUUACUCCCAUGCGCGUAGCGAAAGCAAUGACCGGAUUCUGUUCACCUGGAAAGACUGAUAGAUUCAUCUUCCUCUAUGGACGAUAUAUACUUCUUUCAUCUUUGCUUUGGACACAUAGGUUCUUAAGGUGAGAAAUUUGGCUAUGUCCAUAUUGCAUCAUCAUCCAACUGAUCUACUCCUACAGUCGAUUGGCUUGUGAUUGAGCGCUCAUACUGGGACCCGAAAGAUGGUGAACUAUGCCUGAGCAGGAUGAAGCCAGAGGAAACUCUGGUGGAGGUCCGAAGGCGUUCUGACGUGCAAAUCGAUGCUCAGACUUGGGUAUAGGGGCGAAAGACCAAUCGAACCGUCUAG